rnacentral:lncRNA from 1 species
GCUUAUUUUCAGGUGUAUGAGGAAGUCAGGUGCAAGUCAUAAGACUUGGCUGCAGUCCCGGGCGCCAUCUUGGGACUGCUGCCACAACCGCUCCUCACAGCUGACAAAUAAAACUGUACUUAUGGAUCAUCAAGAAUGUCUUCAAAUACCUGGGACACUGGCAGAGGACAUCUUUAAUAGAAGACUGGUGGGUAACAGAAACAAUGGAGAAGCACCCACUUCUAUGUCCAGAUUUCAAAUUCUACAACAGUUGCUGCUCUUCUAUCUUCUUAUCAAAAGCUUCAAGUGAACUACCAUUGUUCCAACUUCCAAUAAAAUUCUUCUCUUGUUCCUUCAGGAUCAUACCACAGAAAGAUGCAAAAUUUGACCCAGUAACUUUCAAGCAAAUUUUGAAAAGUGAAAGAUUAUUCACUUAUUUCAAAUAAAUUCUCAAAUUCAGAA